UCUGGUCCGAGGUGAAGGGGCAAGACCUCUGCCCAAGGUGCCCUGUGAGCAAGUGGAACUAGACGAAGCACAAAGGAAAAGAAAAAAAGUGGUUUGCCACGGGCCCAUCCACAUGUGGAGACAGAGUAAGCAAAGAUGGAACCAUGGAGGUCUAAGGUUCCCUUGAACCUCAAGGAAUCUCUUGCUGUGUAGGCCUCUGGGAACAACCUAUGUGUCUCACCCAAGGCCCAGGACACACAUCCUUCCACUUGGAACUUUGAGUUUGAAAGGGAGGAAACAUAUUAAAAAAAACCUUAUAUAUAUAUUUCAAAAACUCAUCAUGCCACUCUGCUAUCUUCCAAGGCAGAGAGAUCCGCUCUUGCAGGCUGAAUGCUUUAUUUGGAUCUAAAUGUUGAUAAAGAAAUGAAAGGAACAGAGACAUGAAAUGUGGCAGAUACCUUUUUGGAAGUGGCAUUAUAAGAAUAAGGAAGGAUGCAUGGAAACAGAAAGAGCUAUAUUAAAUGUUUGCUUUAUCACUUUUUGCCAACUCCUAUCCUUGACUUUUAAAAUUUCUAAACAUUUCAAACAAAUCAGCUAUGCCAUGGUUGAAUGCUCUUGGAAGAAAAUGACUCUGAUUUGUCCAAAACCACCCCAGCAGGCAACCCAAGGACUAGAACUGGUUAAAUUUCUUAAAAAAUCAACAAGAGUAUCAGUUAUAAACAGGAACACCUGUCUUGCUAGAACCUAAACUAAGACCUCUGAUUUCUUUUACAUAAGGCAUUGAACAGCUGUCAGAUAUGUGAACAAAUUUUGUACGCUUGAGUACUAUGACUUUGAACCAGUGACCUGGAGGUCCAUUGUCUCUAUUAUCACUCCCUUGAGCCACUUGCUAUGGCAAGCUGCAGAGUUAUUUUAGAAAAUGGCAUCACCCAGUUUGGGUACUCCACCAGUCUGUGUUCAAAAUUAUCAGUAUUUUUCUGGUUCAAGUUACAGUUACUUCUGAUUGCUUUUGGUCUUGAUAUCCCCAUCCCAUUUAGUGACACUACCGUCUACCAAGUCACUAAAAUCAGAAAUUGUCAUUAUCUUUUAGUUGGUAAGCCUCGCUGAUCUACUGUGCCUCGUGAAGCCUUCGUCUUAUCUGUUGCUGUCACCUGACUUUAGGAUUCUCCUUGAAUAGCUAAGGAGCCUUUUAGCUCAUCCCCCACAUACCCAUUCUUCACUUUCUGCCAUAUUUUCAUCUUAAGCCAGAGAUCAUGUCUCAUUGCAAUGUCAAGUUUUUCUGUGGCUCCUCAAUUAUGUGAUGAUUCCCUGUGUUAUUUCUCACCCCAGUUAUUUCCUAAGAGUUCUCUGGCAGCUCUACCUCCUGACUCAUGCACUUCCCAACUCAGGCACCUGCCCCUCUCAACACCAGCUCUGCUAGGCCACUUUCCCCCCACUUUUUUUGGCUGUGCCUGCAGCAUGCGGAACUUUCCAGGCCAGGGAUUGAAUCCACACCACUGCAGUGACAACACUGGAUCCUUAACCUACUGAGCCACCAGGGGACUGCCUUUCCUUCUAAUAACAUAUGUAAGCUCCAUCCAUGUUGCUCCUGCUGUUUGCUCUGCAUACAGUUCCCUUCCUCUUUUUCUUGAGCUAUCAUAGUUCACUCCUGUUGCGAGACCCAAGCAAAAGUCCCUGUUAUAGAAAUCUUUUCUGCCUUGAGAGAGGGCAUACUCCUUCUUUUGUUCCUUUAACACUUAGUGUAUCUGUUGUUUACACUCCUCUGCAGGCCCAUGCAUUCCACAAAUAGUUGUGCACUUAUGUGGUAAUAACAUGAGUUCCCUGUGAACUGGACCUCUGUUCACCCUUAUUUUCCCAGUAUUUAGCACUGUCAUCUGCCCAUGGUAGGUGCUCCAUCAAUGUUAGGUUGAAUUAGGAUUAUGGAGCAGCCUUUCUGCAUGGUAGCUCAUGGGAAGUACUGUUGAUUGGGUAACGGAGAUUCGUGCCCAGUUACCUAUCAGGUCUGCCAUUGUGUGUUUCAUGGGUUGAUCUGUAUGCCCCUCAGGUUCCUUGUGAGCUUAAACAUCGAGAAUAGCUUAAAAGUGGACAACUAUUUCUCUCCUGUGCUAUUUGCUCAGUCUGGCCUCUUGAUUAACUCCCAUGCCUUCUAAUCUCUUCCUCCUGUUAUUCUCACCUUUGCUUGUGUAUCUGUGCUGUCACAGCCACUCCAAAGGCCAGCAUUGUCUUCACUUUCCCAUCUGGAUUCUCUUUUGCUGAAAUUCUCUAAGACUUGAGAAUAUCUUUUUCACUAUUCACCUUUUUAUUACAUACAGUUUUAUACUGUUUGCUGGUUAUUUGUCUUGGUAAAUUUUUUUUUUUGCUCCAUUCAGCUGAAAACUGCUUUAGUGUAGCUUGAUGUUGUUGCCAGCAGAGGCAUUCCAGUGCCUCUCCUGGAGGCCCUGGCUCUGCCAUACCAAACUAACUGUGGGCAAGUUUAAAAAAAUGCUAAACCUUAAAUAUAAAGUGGGAAAAAUAAUAGUGCCUAUCUCUAGAAAAUAGAGAAAAUGUAUUUGAAACUCUUUGUGCCUGACAAACAUAAGCCUGAGUAUGCGAUAGUUAUUAUUUUCAAGAACAGUUUUGAUCAGAACCUGUUGAAACUAAUUUAUUUUCCACCCAAAGCCUAUAUAAUGACUGAUACUUUGAGGUCUAUCUCAUGUCAUUGGAUAAUUAUGAUUGGUUUAGCACAAAGUCACACUCUGCAAGGUUCUUGGAACCAUUCUUCCACCAUGAGUACAGAGAAGCCAAGGCAGGCACUGACAUUGUGGUCUGUUCAGCAAUGUCUUGUGGCCCGAAUGAACCAUGAGGGCUUAUGAAUUGUCCUAAAACACAAAAUGUGAUUUGUUAGACCUUAACUAAUAAACGGAGUGUAUUUUUGGUGCCAUCAUACCCAGACUAUAAGGUCAUUGAAAUAAAUCUGAGGCAUAUCUCCUGAAAGAUGUCUACUCAUUCCUCUGCCAAAAGAAAAAAAAAAAAAAAAAUACAACCCUGUCUCCUC